ACCCAUCUGGCAAUGGGCAAAGAGGCAUCUUGCUGGUGAUGUUCUUCUUGUAUUAGUCAGGGGAAGAGCAGAUGACAAUCCUUUGUUCAUCCUAGCAUAAUGCCUGGCUUGGUGGCCAAAGUUGUCUUAUGCCUAGGACUCAUAG